rnacentral:rRNA from 1 species
AGGACGAACGCUGGCGGCGUGCCUAACACAUGCAAGUCGAGCGAGGAGAUUCCUUCGGGAUGAUCCUAGCGGCGGACGGGUGAGUAACACGUGGGCAACCUGCCUCAUAGAGAGGAAUAGCCUUCCGAAAGGGAGAUUAAUACCUCAUAACAUUGCAGUUUCGCAUGGAACAGCAAUUAAAGGAGUAAUCCGCUAUGAGAUGGGCCCGCGGCGCAUUAGCUAGUUGGUGAGGUAACGGCUCACCAAGGCGACGAUGCGUAGCCGACCUGAGAGGGUGAUCGGCCACAUUGGGACUGAGACACGGCCCAGACUCCUACGGGAGGCAGCAGGUGGGGAAUAUUGCACAAUGGGGGAAACCCUGAUGCCAGCAACGCCGCGUGAGUGAUGACGGCCUUCGGGUUGUAAAGCUCUGUCUUCAGGGACGAUAAUGACGGUACCUGAGGAGGAAGCCACGGCUAACUACGUGCCAGCCGCCGC